ACAAGUACCGUGAGGGAAAGUUGGAACAGGACUCUGAAGAGAGAGUUAAAGAGGGCGUGAAACCAGUGGGGUGGAAGCGGAUAGAGCCAGCGUAUUUGGCCUGUAUUCAGCUGGGAUGGCUGUCGGCGCGUGGUGUUGCUCUCUAGAUUGGGACGGCGCUGCAUAGCUGGCAGCCAUUUCGGUGUAUUUGCAGGUGGAGUGCGUCGAGACCUUCGGACUGGCGCCAUGAACUCGGUUUUGAGGCCAGCCACGUGCUGAUACCCGGACCGGAGGAUUGCUGUUCAGCCUGAAUGCUACAGGGGCAAGGCAUUGUAGGGGCAAUGGCCACAAGCCGGAGGCCAGUGUCGGCCGCAUGCGACACGAGCUGGCAGUCGGUUUGUCCUAGUCUUCAACUCCCUUGCCCACUCUCGGCGUCGAAGCUGGUCACCUGUCCGACCCGUCUUGAAACACGGACCAAGGAGUUUAUCGUGUGCGCGAGUCGUUGGGCGUUCAAAACCCGAAGGCGAAAUGAAGGUGAAUUUUGCCCCAUACAUGCGAUCUUGGACCAUAUCGGUGGCAGUGCGCAGCAUGGUCCCAUCCCCAUUUUGCUCUUGCAAAGGGGUGGAGAAAGAGCGUACGCGAUGAGACCCGAAAGAUGGUGAGCUAUUCCCGAGCAGGAUGAAGCCAGGGGAAACCCUGGUGGAGGUCCGAAGCGAUUCUGACGUGCAAAUCGAUCGUCCGACUUGGGUAUAGGGGCGAAAGACUAAUCGAACCAUCUAGUAGCUGGUUCCUUCCGA
rnacentral:rRNA from 1 species